CAAGCGGAUCGCUGUGAGUUCGAGGCUAGCCUGGUGGACAGAGUGAAUCUGAAACUCUACCGAAAUGGAGGCCUUUUCCAAGAGCCGUGUGAAGGGAUUCUCAGUGAACUCGAGCAGGCUCUGGGCUUACCAGUGAGAAGGGUGAAUCUGGUGACCUGGAUUGUCUGAUGCAAGGAACCAGUGGCAUCACUCUCAACAUCUGAAGCCCUUCUUCCACAUGCUCUGAGUGGUCCAGAGCCCAUUCAAGGGCCCUUUGUCAUUCCAGCCUUCAAGUCCCCAUCUCUCCCAUCUGUAGCGUCUGCAUAGACAGAGCAGGGCUCUUUCAUGGAAAAUCUCACCCCUAGCUCAUUCUCAGCCUCUAUGGGCAGCAUGUACAUGGAAGAACCACCAUCCAGGAACACUUCCUGUCCCCUCUUCCCAAAGAAGGUCCUGAACAUUUACCUACUAUUCAUGGGCCUUACAUUGUCUCCUGGGUCUCUUCCCCCAAGUGACUUGAGUCCGAGGCUCCUUAAGUUGAACUCCUUCUUUAGAUACCCAUGCCCCUUUAUCCACUACCUACACCAGGAGAGAAGAGAGGCAGAUGUCUGUAGAGGGUGUGGACAGAUGGAUAUAACAUGGAGCUCCCCCAUUUCCUGAAUGGCCACAGGAGGGAUGAGGUAGCAGCCCCCAUGCCUCUUGCAUCGAUGCUGAGAGUGUGAAGUGGAACAGCUUGUGAGGGGCUCUGACGCAAGGCCUGGUGCGGAAACCUUUCAUGCUCUUCCGGAUCUGGCCUUGAGCCAGAAGACAACCAUACGACCCAUGUGCUUCUGCCCUUUUAGCCUUCACAGCUCCUUCCCCCACACCCCACACUUCGCAGGGACCCUUAGCAUGGAUUAGCCUGGGGAUGGCUGCUGCCUGUGUCAGAUCUAUGGUUCUUUGGGUGAGUAUGCUGUUUCCCUGGAGUGUCUGCAGUUUCUCCUGAUGUGAUGUUUGUGAUGCAAAAAGGAGCUGACUUAGUGCACACCACCUAGGCUGGGCUCUCAUGGUGGUCACUUCUAGCAAGUCUGAUAUCCAAGUUGAGGGGCUGUCAGCAGCCACCCAGAUGUAUCUCUUGUCUCUUCACUCUGAAAUCUUGACCCCUGCUGAGGAGAUAAGAGGUCAGCCUUUCCCCACUGCCACCCUUCCAGUCUCUCCUGCAGGCAGAACUUGGUUUCCCUCCACCUAACGAGGGUUAGCUUCAUGUCACAGACACAUGGUCAUUCACACGCAUUGUGUAUCUCCCUGAGCAGCCCGUCCCUGAGGUGUUUUGUCUGGUUUCCAACAAACAGGCUCUGUCUCAUGGAGGAGGGUUAGUGUGCUGCCCAGAACUGGACUGAGCUUCCCAACUCAAAGUUCAAGGAAAGCAGAGUCGGUGGUACCCUAAUGGCUCCCAUCCUGGUAACAGUAAUGUUGGUCUUAAUCUCACCUAGAAUCCUCCUUUAACCUGGGGUUGAGAAGCCAUCCAUAACUCACUCCUGAAGGAUGUGAAGCAAUGACAGGGCCAGUCUCCCACGGAAUAUCCUGUUCCAGUAGAAUUUUACCAUAUUUACUAAGUUUUUGGGAGUGUCUAAGAACACCAUGUUGCUGUCAGAUGAUGGUCUCAGCUAGAUCAUGUUACUGUCAGAUGAUGGUCUCAGGCUAGACCAGGGUCGCAGUGAUGACCAUGGCUGAGAGAACUCUUGUGCCUUAGUUCUCUGAAAGUUGGGAUGAUUACUGUCACUACCACAGUGAGUUCUUGUGAAAACAAAGGAAAGGGAAUAUUCAGAAGCUGGGGAGAUAAUUCACUCAGUAAAGAGGACCUGAGUUCAAUUCCCAGCAGCCACAUAAAAAUG